AGUUUAUAAACUUAAUGGCUACUUUCUUCAAAUAAUGCUAGGGGCAGUUCUUUGCUGAUCAUUAUUAAACGAACUAAACUUCAUGUAAUUUAGAAUGUUUUAUUGGGAGAUAAAUAUUUACCUACAGUUUACCUACCAAUAAAAUCAUAAAUAUUGCCCUCAACCUUUAAUUUAGCUGAGGAGGAAGAGAAGGAGGAUGAGGAAGAAGACAAAGAUGAGGCUGAGGAAACAAAAGAGGCUGAGGAUGAAGCUGAGGCUGAAACUGAGGAAGAAAAGAAGGAUGAAGAGGAAGGAGAGGGUGAGCCUGAAAAUAUAAAAGCUGCUAAAACCCCAGCCGCAAACAUUUUUCAACGAUUUUGCGCGCUAAAUAUGCUAUAUAUGGAUAAGUGCAGCUCUGUGCAUUACACAAUCCACAGCCUACGGUAUUGAUGAUAAUAAGCUUAUAUCCACAGUUGUUGCCUUUUGUGCUUCUGCUUAGAUAAAACAAAGUACAGUGUAUAUUAGGCCUUUCAUUUAAAGAAAAUUGCAAUUUCGCAUGCUAACUUAGCUGAUGAAGAAGAGGAGACAAAAGAGGAGGAAGAGGAAGUAGAGGAGAAAGAGGAAGUAGAGGAGAAAGAGGAAGUAGAGGAGGAGAAAGGGGAUGAAGGCGCAGAAGUAGAAGGUGAUGAAAACGAUUUCUAGGUCGCAAAAGAUUGAGAUUGCUACGCCUUCUAAAAAUAUUAAAACGCAAAUUUCAUUUAAUAUCUACAAAAAUAUUUAGUGAACCGUCUUCUCAAACAUUUUAUGCAAACAAUAGCAGAAGAAAAAGAGGAGGAAAAGGAGGAAGAAAAGGAGGAGGAAGAAGACACAAAAGAAGGUGACAAAAAUCAUGCUAUAAAUCAAUCAAAGGCAAGCGGCUACUAAGAGUGGUCUCUAAAACAGUGACAAUAUAACGUGGGCGACAACAUUUAAUUUUUAAACGCCUAUAAUUCACCAGAACAUAGGAUAAACUCGUUUUCUUAUAACACUUUCAUGCAAACAAUAGAGGAAGAAAAAGAGGCAGAAGAGGAGGAAAAAGAGGAUGAGGAAGACACAAAAGAAGGUGAUAAACAUAUCAUUUUGCUACAGUAUUUGCAAUCAUAAAAAAUGUUGGUAUACCCAAGCAGGUGAUAAGUAUAUGCUUUGGACUCGGCGUGUCUUUUUUAAACGUUGAAAUAUGGUAAAUCAUAUCGUAAACAUUUUUGCAUGCAAACAACAGAGGAGGAUAAGGAGGAGGAAAAGGCAGAUGAGGGAGAAACAAAAGAAGGUGACAAACCUUUCUUGCAUCCUGCUAAUUGAGAUCAUUUAUAAGCAGCUCAAUCCACAACGUUCGAUCUGAAACACUUCUGUUGCAACUCGAUAGUUUUCAAGAUUUUUAUAUUAUCAAGCGUGCUUCGAUAGCGCUAUAGCAUAAAUGCACUAAACAAAACAUUAACACUGGAAAUUGAAUGAUCCAGCAGAGGUAGAAGAAGAGGAGGAGGAGGAGGAGAAAGAAACAGAAACAAAGGAAGAUGACACGAGAGAAGGCGAUGGUAAUCUCUCUAGCCUUACGAACAUUUCGCAUUAUCUUAAGUAAAACUUCGCAGUGAAUUAUAUUUGAGCUUGUACAAAGGUGAAAGUGAUUAUCUCAAACAACAGCGCAAAAUUGUUAAAGGAUGGCUCUUUACUCAAACUGUUGUUUCAUAAUUUUUACAACGCGUAGCCGAGGACGAAAAGGAGGACGAGGAAGCUGACAAAGGAGAAGGUGACAUGUCGUUCAAAACACGACAGCCUGCUCAAAAUAUAAAUCUGCACGCGUUGAGCAUGUAAGAGCAUUGAACUUUCCGAGGCACCACUUAUUAGAACGUGUACCAGAACGUGCAGCUGGAGGUUGCUACCAUGAACUACUAUGCCAUAAAUAAUUUGUCCAUAGAGCUAUAAUGUCAGGUUUCGCAUGCGCUCAGGUUGCCACGCCCAUCUUUGAGUUCCCUCUUCAACUCAGCUGAGCCUUCUUUACUUCACGGCACACAGUUCAGCUCUACAGAAUUCAAAAGUCCCGUCUUAUAUACACCCUGUCCAACUUUUAUCCGAACAGUCCACACCAUACAUUCUACUGGUCGCUUGCUUAGCGGCAUCUUACAGGAUCUGUUGGAGCCAUGCACUUGCACGUAUACAAAGGCACGACAGAGUCAACAGAAUACCAUAUUAUAGUUUCUCCCUUACAUUUCCGUAUAAAGUGACUUGUGUG